UUGUCAUUAUUAUAAAAAGAUGUUGCCUGGUGACCUGUCAGAAACCCAUUAUACAAAGUCAGCCAAAAUGAUGUUUACACACAUCAGGAAAAGAAAAACUUGCAUAAAUAUUUCGAUACCAAAUUUAUUCAUACAUCACCAGAUUAAUAAAAGUUAUCUUUGGCCUCUACAAUUACAAGAGGUGCUCAAAGUGGUGGCCACUGGCUUCCAGACAUUUCUGUUCUGUUGUAGAUGUCACUUGUUGAUGCUCCAUUCAUGAGGGUAGCGCCAUCUGUUGGGAAAACAUCGUACAACAGGACACAGAGUUAUGGUGAUUUGAUCAAACUUAGAAAGAGGAAUCUAUAUGUAUAGAAGUACUUAUACAAAUGAAAUAUUUAUAAAAGUUUUUCUUUUCCUGAUGUGUGUACAUUAUUUACUCUGAACUUAAUGAGAACAAAACUGUCAUUUAAUUGUUGCUUUGAAAGCUUCUUUAGUGAAAACCAGCUGGUGUUCUGCUUUGAAACAAACUGCUGUUGAGGUCUGUGUUUUUAGGUUUAACCCCACAGUUUCUGAAUGAACUGAUAGUUUGUUUUUUUUCCUGAUCAAUGUGGACGUUAUAAUUGAUGGUAACAUUUACUGAUCAUAUAAUCAGCAUGACAAUAUAACAGUAUAACAUUCUGACCACCUGACUAAUACUGUGUUGGUCCCUUUAUGCUGCUAAAACUCCUCUGACCCAGUGGUUCAUCAGAACCUCUGGGGAUGUCCUGUGGAUUCUGUGGAUCCUGUGGGUUGCAGGGUGGGUCCUACCUAGACCAGGCUGAUCCUGGACCAUCCCACAGAUGCUCCAUCAGAUGUGGAUGUGGGGAGUGUGGAACCCAGAUGUUCAGAGGGAGAUGAUGCCACAUCUGGUCCAGCCGAUGGAAGGUGUUGAAGUUCUCUGACUGGCCUCGACUGAAGAUGGUCCUCUCACUGGAUUUAAGGUUCAGAUGCUCAGUAACAAACUCCACCAAUGAGCCAACAGGGAAGCUUUAGGUUUAUUAAAUGUUGCUAUGAAGGUUUCGUUGUUUUUCUUUGUGAAUGCAAUGUGCUCCAACUGAAACUUGAAUUAGAACUAAGUAAGUAAAUCCUUCCAUCUGAAAGGAUUUAGUUGCAUUAAUAACCUCAUAACAUUCUAAUUUUUAUUUCAGUCUUGGUUGGAAAUAGAAUCUCUGUAUUGAUUCAGGUAAAAACUGAACUUCACAGCAUGUUGGAGCAAAACAACCAGAUGAAAACUGUGAUGGUGUUGGAUUGUCAGACCGUAAUGUUGCAGCUCAAAGCAGCUUUUCUAGCUCAGUUCAUUCUGACAUUCAGCUAUGAAUCAACACAGCAGAUGGUGAUCCAUGCUGUGGAAGUCUCACAUCUCCUGAUUUAAUGGAGAUGCUUUGCACUUUUUACACUGUUUAUUCACCAACACUUUAUUUAAUAAAAGUCCCAUCUAGUUUUUAUGAGGAAUGUGAUGUUUUAAUUUCUCUGUGAAUAACUGCAGUCUAAUGCAACAGCUGGAAUUGUAACAUCUGUCCUCAUAUUGAUCUUGAAGUAUUGAUCAGAAUACUUAUGGUCAGCAGUCAUCCCUGAAGUUUUACAUUAAAAUCUUUACUUGUGUUGUGAACUUUGGUAAGAAGCAGAAACGUUAGCGUUGCCAUGGAUACAUGAGUGUUAAAUUCUGUCCAUGUUUCCAUUUUGGGAAAGUCAGUCCAACAGAUGAGUUUGUUUUUACUGCCAGCUACCAUUCAGUCUGAGAUAUUAAGAAUAAAUAAAUGUGCAUAAUGUGGAAAUGAACAGAUUCUAUUUUUAUUUAUUGCUACAGCUGCUGCAGGUAAAGUUAUAGGAUGUGGAGGAAGUUAGUCUCACAAUCACAGACAGUAAAUAUUAUCUGAAAGUCGGGUUAUUGUUGUUUAUCAGCACAAUACAAAAAGAUUAACGUUAGAAAUAUUCCAGUUAAUACUCUAGAAUAUCAGGAUUUAUGUAAAUUUACCUCAAUAAUAUGAAUGUUCAGGUUAAGAUUGUGCAGUGAUAUUUAUUAUGUAAGUUUAGCUGAUUAAAGUUUAUGACUCUGCACUACAAUAUUAUUUAUUAUUUAAAUUUACAUUAUUAUAAUAUUUAGGGUCAGACCCUACAGUAUUGCGAUUAAGAAAUCAAAUAUUGUAUAAAAUAUAAAUGCACUGAACUCACUUGGAUAUAUUUAAGUGAGACUCUACAAUAUUAUUUGACACAAAUCUAUCUAAAUCAAAAUUUUAAUAAUUUUCACGCCAAACAUUUACUGGACUGAUUUAAAUAUUAAAAUCACUCCUUUCUAAUCCUCUGCUGUACGUUCAAACCUGAAGCCUUAAAUAGAAACACACAAGUAUCUGAUUGAAAGAACUUCUGCAGAGUCCUGGUUCCAGAAUAUGAUGAUAGAAUUAUAGACAAACUUUAACAAAAGCUGCCUGAGAGUUUACAGGUUUUUAUGUUAGAUUUCUUCAGUAAUUUAAUGAGUUAUCAGCAAUAAUCAAGUGUUCAUUUGAUGAACUUCAUUUCCUAAAACAUCCAGAAUUGGAGCUCAUAUCUUUGGCAGCUGUAAAGUUUCUGCUCCUUCAAAGUUCACAACACAAUGAAUGAAUUCCUAAAACACUCUCAAUGCUGGAGAGCGUUUGAUGCUGAAGCAGUGAUCAGUUUUUCUGUUUCUUCUCUGGAGAUGCACAAUGAGGGACGUCUGCAGCGACUGAGAAAGAGUCUCACCACAUCCUGACAUGAGGAAAAAGACUUUAUUGAAGACUGCAAUGAGAAAAACUAUCAGACAGCAGACGGCAUGCAUUCAAGGUGAGCUCUGAACAUUUGAUCUGGAACAGGAAUUCAAUCACAGCAGCAUGAGCUUCAUUUCAGUCUGUAGCUGCUGAAUUCAUGGAUGAAUCAUCUGGCACUAGAGAGGAAGACCAUCAAACAUCCACGUCAGCUGAUGGAGGUCCAAGAGUCUCACCAAACAACCAACCUACAGAGUGAAGACCUCGAAUCUGAUUGGACGGCCUCCUAUUCAGCCACAUGUGAACAAAUGCCUCUAAGCUGAUUUGUUUUCUAAAAUAAAUCUAGUUUGAGUCCUAA